AAAUGGAGGUGCAAGCCGUGCAAUUGGAAAACAGUCGGUCUCUCUUCCCUCUCUCUCACUCGGUCUCUCCCUCUGUCGCAGAAUCGAAGAGGCCGAACGAAACCCUAAAAACCAGGUAAGUCGUCCUCUCCUUCCACCUCCCCAAGCUAUCUCGCACGGCCUCUCACCAGUCACCGCUCACCAAGUGGCCAAUCACCAUCUUUUUCCCCUUCCAUUCGCGUCCUCCACCACCAAACUCCCAUUCGCGUCGUCCUCCAUCGGUUUUCUUUCUCUCACCAUCGUCUUCCACCACUAGCUGCUAAGUGCUCACUUCGCCACCCCAAUCUUAAGGCAGAACCAGGCUGGCAUCCAUGGAAAAGGGUUUUGCUUUGGUGAAACACUGUGUUUCCUUUAGGAUGAGUUUUGCUUGGUUGCUAAGAGGAGCAGCUAGAUUUUCCUGUGCUGUAUGCUUCUGCUAAAGAAGGAUGGGCUUCCACCACUUUCACCAAAGAUCCUCCUGCUGAUGCAAGAAACAUGUCACGGCUGCUUGAUGCCAUUAUAAGUCAUGUUCCUCCACCAACAGCCAAUCUUGAUGCAACUUUUCAAAUGCUCCCCUGUUUCUAUGAUGGAACGAGACUUCUACCUUGGACAAAUAUUGACUGGAUGAGUUUCUUCUGGCACCAUUCGCAUUGGUGACAGAGUUCAUGGGCUUCGUCACAAAGAUUCUGGAGUUGAGAAAAUUGAAGAAGGGAAGGUUGUGAAGCUGAUGAAAAAGAAGGGAACACAUAUGGUCGUAAUUGAAUGUGCUGGAGCUGGUGACAUAGUGUCAAUGGCGGGGUUAACAAGCCGCCCUUCUAUUGGCCAUACAGUUGCAAGCGUUGAGACUAUGACUGCAUUGCCCACAGUUGUGUUGGAUCCACCAACUAUUUCCAUGACUUUUGGUGUCAAUGACUCUCCCUUAGCUGGUCGUGACGGUACCCAUUGUAUGGGGAAGGUGCGGGUUCGUGAGACGGGUGCUUCCUCUCUCAGAUCGACCACAAGACAGGCAAGCCCUGACGGAGGAAGUGGCAACCCUAAAAGGUCAGCUUGCGGCCCAAGAAGCAGCUCGGGAAGCCGAGAUUGCAGCCCAGUUAUUGGCCCAGGACGAUAAGAUGAGUAUGAUCUUACGAGCCUUACAGAUGUCCGGCCUUCAAAUCUCGAUGCUAGCACCUGAUUUUGCUCCACCUUUGACCUCCCAGCCAGUUUGCCCUGCGAUACCCAGUAGCCUGAUGCAUUAAACCGAGACGACUGAUUGUAGUUUUUUCUUUUAUGUUCGGACAUCUUUUAUGUACAUUUUCAUAUAUUUUAUAAAUAAAUGUUUUUUCUUGGUUUA